GAUUGAAGAACGUAGCGAAAUGCGAUAAGUAAUGUGAAUUGCAGAAUUCAGUGAAUCAUCGAAUCUUUGAACGCACAUUGCGCCCGCCAGUAUUCUGGCGGGCAUGCCUGUUCGAGCGUCAUUUCAACCCUCAAGCCCCCGGGCUUGGUGUUGGGGAUCGGCGUGCCCUCGCGGCGCGCCGUCCCCUAAAUCUAGUGGCGGUCUCGCUGUAGCUUCCUCUGCGUAGUAGCAACACUCGCACUGGAUCGCAGCGCGGCCACGCCGUUAAACCCCCCACUUCUGAAAGUUUGACCUCGGAUCAGGUAGGAAUACCCGCUGAACUUAAGCAUAUCAAUAAGCGGAGGA
rnacentral:misc_RNA from 1 species